GACGAACGCUGGCGGCGUGCUUAACACAUGCAAGUCGAACGAUGAAGCCGGAGCUUGCUCUGGUGAAUUAGUGGCGAACGGGUGAGUAACACGUGAGUAACCUGCCCUUGACUCUGGGAUAACUGCGGGAAACUGUAGCUAAUACCGGAUACGACCCUCGGAGGCAUCUCCUGGGGGUGGAAGAAUUUCGGUCAAGGAUGGACUCGCGGCCUAUCAGCUAGUUGGUGAGGUAAAGGCUCACCAAAGCGACAACGGGUAGCCGGCCUGAGAGGGUGACCGGCCACACUGGGACUGAGACACGGCCCAGACUCCUACGGGAGGCAGCAGUGGGGAAUAUUGCACAAUGGGCGCAAGCCUGAUGCAGCAACGCCGCGUGAGGGAUGACGGCCUUCGGGUUGUAAACCUCUUUUAGCAGGGAAGAAGCGAAAGUGACGGUACCUGCAGAAAAAGCACCGGCUAACUACGUGCCAGCCGCCGCCGUAA
rnacentral:rRNA from 1 species